rnacentral:lncRNA from 1 species
AGACACAAAAGAUCUGUCAAACUAGAAAUGAAACAAAUUGAACGUCUUCAACAAUACCAAUAUAUACCAUCAGCUAGGGUUGGCUGAGGCAAUGUCUAGGAGUGGUCAAUUUUGUGUGAAAAAAAUAUGAGAAUCCAAAUUAGAGAUUGAGGAUUCAAGUGGACACAAAAGAUCUACUAAACCAGAAAUAAAACAAACUAAACGCCUUCAACAAUACCAGUCUAUACCAUGCGCUAGGUUGGUUGAGGCAAAGGCCGGGAGUGGUCAAUUCAAAAUGAAAAAAAUAUGACAAUUCAAAUUAGAAAUUGAGGAUUCAAGUAGACACAAAAGAUCCGCUAAAAUAUAAAUGAAACAAACUGAACGUCUUCAAUAAUACUAGUGUAUACCAUGAGCUAGGGUUGGCUGAGGCAAAGGCUAGAAGUGGUCAAUUUGAAUUGAAAAAAAUAUGAGAAUUCAAAUUAGAGAUUGAGGAUUCUAGUGGAUACAAACGAUCUGCUAAAUCAGAAAUGAAACAAACUGAACGUCUUCAACAAUACCAAUAUAUACUGUUAGCUAGGGUUGAUUGAGGCAAUGUCUAGUAGUGGUCAAUUUAAUGUGAAAAAAUAUAAGAAUUUAAAUUAGAGAUUGAGGAUUGAGAACACAAAACAUCUGCUCAAACAUUUAUGAAAAAAAAAAAAAACCUAUUCAAUAGUACCAAUCAGUACCUUGAGCUAGGGUUGGCUAAGGCAAAGGCUCAUAGUGUACAAUUUGAUGUGAAAAUUUAUGAGAAUUCAAAUUAGAGAUUGAAGAUUCAAGUGGACACUAAAGAUUUGCUAAACCAAAAAUGAAACAAACUGAACGUCUUCAACAAUACCGAUCUAUACCGUGUGCUAGGGUUGGCUGAUGCAAAGGCUAGGAGUGGUCAAUUUGAUGUCAAAAAAUAUGAGAAUUGAAAUUAGAGAUUGAGGAUUCAAUGGGACACAAAAGAUCUGCAAAACAUAAGUGAAAAAAACUAAAUUAGUUCAACAAUACCAGUGUGUACACUUAGCUAGGGUUGACUGAGGCAAAGGCUAUGAGUGGUCAAUUUAAUGGGGAAAAAUGUAAGAAUUCAAACUAGAGAUUUAGGAUUUAAGAGAAUACAAAAGAUCUGCUAAAACAUAAAUGAAAAAACUAAACUAGUUCAAUAAUACCAAUAUGUACAGUGAGCCACGGUUGGCUGAGGCAAUGGCUAGGGUGGUCAAUUUGAUGUGAAAAAAUAUAAGAAUUCAAACUAGAGAUUUAGGAUUUAAGGGAACACAAAAGAUCUGCAAAAAUAUAAAUGAAAAAAACUGAACUAGUUCAACAAUACCAAUAUGUACAGUGAGUUUCAGUUGGCUGAGGCAAUGGCUAGGGGUGGUCAAUUUGAUGUGAAAAAAUAUGAGAAUUCAAAUUAGAGAUUGAGGAUUAAAGGGGACACAAAAGAUCUACAAAAACAUAUAUGAAAAAAAUUGAACCUGUUCAACAAUACCACUUUAUACCGUGAGCCAGGGUAGGGUGAGGCAAAGGCUAGGAGAGGUCAAUUUUAUGUUAAAUAAUAUGAAAGUUGAAAUUAGAGAUUGAGGAUUCAAGUGGACGCAAAAGAUCUGCUAAAUCAGAAAUGAAAUAAACUGAACAUCUUCAACAAUUUUGAUCUAUACUGUGAGCUAGAGUUGGCUGAGGCAAAGGCUAGGAGUGGUCAAUUUGAUGUCAAAAAUUAUGAGAAUUGAAAUUAGAGAUUGAGGAUUCAAGGGGACACAAAAGAUCUGCUCAAACAUAUAUGAAAAAAAUAAAUGAAUUAGAUCAAUAAUACCAUUCUAUACCGUGAGCUAGGGUUGGCUAAGGCAAAGGCUAGGAGUGGUCAAUUUGAUGUGGAAAAAUAUGAGAAUUCAAAUUAGAGAUUGACGAUUCAAGGGGAUACAAAAGAUGUGCUAAAACAUAAAUAAAACAAACUGAACCGGUUCAGCAAUAUCUGUCUGUACCAUCAGCUAAUGUUGGGUGCUGCAAAGGCUCGGAGUGGUAAAUUUGAUGUGAAAAAAUAUGAGAAUUCAAAUUAGAGAUUGAGGAUUAAAUGGGACACAAAAGAUCUGUUAAAAAUUAAAUGAAAAAAAAAAAACUAAACAAGUUCAACAAUACUAGUCUAUACCGUGAGUUAUGGUUGGCUGAGACAAACGCUAUGAGUGUUCAAUUUUGAUGUGAAAAAAAAAUAUAUAUGAGAAUUCAAAUUAGAGAUUGAGGAUGCAGUGAGACACAAAAGAUCUGCUAAAACAUAAAGGAAAUAAAC